GAUGCAUGCCGCCACAACAGCUGCACCUGUGUCCUGAGGACCGGUCAGCCUCGGGAGGCAAGCUCUCACCGGCGAGGCAGAUGUGAAGUGAAGCUCCAGUCCGCUCAAUGUGAAUCCAUUAGCUCAUCCACAGGCGACAAUAAUUACACUCAGAGGGACGUUUGUUUCCGUCCAGUAGAGGGCGCCGACGCUCGCCUGCACAGCUCGGUAAACAGGCCAGAGGUGCCAUCCUCACACGGUGAACUCGGCACUGGUUUAGCCUCUCAAAAGCGCGGCUGCUGGAGGACGGGGGUGUAUUGUUAUUGUCAUGUGUGACUAGCCACCGUGUGGAAGAGAGCUGGCAGCACCUUUGACUGCCUGGAGCAGCUGAAGAUUGGAAGGAGAAUUAAGUGACCACAUAAAGAGCGCCCACCCACCCAACUGCGAUCACAAGGCCUCCUGUGCCAGGCUGAGAGAGGGGGCCAGGAGGAUACCCACACAGAAUGGCCACGACUCUCCCACAUAUUGUACCAGAUAACUUUGUCUCCGCAUUCCCAGCUAGGGACUGGGACAAGCCUCUCCUUGUGCUUAUUUACCAAGCAACCCCAAAGAGUUACAACAUCUCCAUCCUUCCUUUACUUAUUGUCUCUUUAGAGGCUCUCUCUCCCUCCCUCCCCCUCUCUCUCUCCCUCCCUCCCUCCCUCUCCCCCCUCUCUCUCCCUCCC